GAAUAUGAAGCGAUAAAUUGCAACUAGUUUCGACCUAGUCCUAGGUUAUACUAACCCUUAUUCU
rnacentral:tRNA from 1 species